UUAUUUAUUUUCAGGUUUAGGUACAAUUCCAUGAAGAUGAAGCAAGUAAAUUUCAUGUUCUGUUUUGCUUGUUAUUGUAUUUUCGACAGUGGACAUAUACUUGAAUACUUAUGUUAUGUUUAAACAAAAUUUAGAUAAAUUUUUAAUAUUGGACAAUGCAUUUCAAGUUAUUCUUGGUUGAAUGGAUUUGUAUUCAAUAUUUGAGUAUUAUGCUUUAUUUUUUUUCUAAUUGAUAAGUAGGUGUAUCA
rnacentral:lncRNA from 1 species